GGGACAUUCCUGGUACUGUAUAACUAGUACUUGUCCUACUAGACUGUACCUAGACUUAUUAUGCUCUGAUUAUGAGUGUUUACUUUUGUAACUAACUCCUAUCACUUCCUAUUUAGUAGUGCACUCUAGUAACUUGGUUUCCAAUUAUUCGUAUAUUUCCUAUCAUUAUUGCUUUCGCACUGUGCACAUGGCUACGUCACUCUCACGUGGCGGCCAGCAUGCAUUGAUCUCGAUCGGGGUGUGUCAGUUUGGUAUCAGAGCCUAGGUUUAGCAGUCCUGUAUAAUGCUUAAAUGUUAUAAUCUUUGUGAUGUCUACGUCAGAACUAUGCCGCCUCGUAGAGAGCCCCGUCACUCAGUUGAGCCUAGUUUCCCUGAUAGUACUCAAUUAGGGGAAGCUAUAGUGGCUGCCCUUCAGACUGUUUUCCGUCCUCCCUAGAAGACACCUCUUGAGACUGUGUACAACCUGAAACUGAAUCACUUCAUUGGAAAUGAAGGUCAUGAGGGGGCAGAAAAGUGGCUUAAUCAGAUUGAGAAGACCUUUAUUGUGAUGCAGAGUCAAGGGAAUCUUUCUCCUGAUAGGUGGGUCGAGAUGAAUACCUAGUUUUUGAGAGAACGACCUGCAUCCUGGUGGAGACAUGAGUCUUACUAGUUGACCCUAGCAGAGACUGCGGACUGGGGAGUAUUUAAAAAAUUGUUUUGAAAAAGGUUCAUUCCUCCUGAGUAUAUUGAUCGUAAGAAACAAGAGUUUACUCAUUUGAAGCAAGGAAAGAUGUCAACUAAUGAGUAUUAUAGGAUGUUUACUGAUCUGUCG
rnacentral:lncRNA from 1 species